UCAUAGGUGUAGUUUAGGGUCAUGGUGGGUAGUUAGGGUUCACAAGACUAUAGUUAGGGUCAUGGUGGGAGUUACGGUCACGGGCUGGGUAGUUAGGGUCAUGGUGGUAAGGUCAGCUGUGGUAGUUAGGGUCAUGAUGUUAGUUGUACUUAGGUUCGUAUACGCGGUCGUUAGGGUAGCACGGAGGGUAGUUAGGGUCAUGGUGUUAGUUACUUAGGGUCAUGGAGGGAGGUUAGGGUCAUGGUGGUAGAGUACUUAGGUGUCAUGGUGGUAGUUAGGGUCACGGCUGUCUGUUA
rnacentral:lncRNA from 1 species